AGAGUUUGAUCCUGGCUCAGGACGAACGCUGGCGGCGUGCCUAACACAUGCAAGUCGAACGGAACUCUUUGGAUCGAGACUUCGGUCAAGUGAAACUGAGUUUAGUGGCGGACGGGUGAGUAACGCGUGAGGAACCUGCCUCGGAGUGGGGGACAACAGUUGGAAACGACUGCUAAUACCGCAUAAUGUUCCGGAGGGACAUCCCUUUGGAACCAAAGCUUUAUGUGCUCUGAGAUGGCCUCGCGUCUGAUUAGGUAGUUGGCGGGGUAACGGCCCACCAAGCCGACGAUCAGUAGCCGGACUGAGAGGUUGAACGGCCACAUUGGGACUGAGAUACGGCCCAGACUCCUACGGGAGGCAGCAGUGGGGAAUAUUGGGCAAUGGGGGCAACCCUGACCCAGCAACGCCGCGUGAAGGAAGAAGGCUUUCGGGUUGUAAACUUCUUUUACCAGGGACGAAGGACGUGACGGUACCUGGAGAAAAAGCCACGGCUAACUACGUGCC
rnacentral:rRNA from 1 species